rnacentral:snRNA from 1 species
AUCGCUUCUCGGCCUUUUGGCUAAGAUCAAGUGUAGUAUGUAUAUAUGAAUAACCAAUGGGCCAAUACUAUUCAUUUAAAUAUUCCCUCCUUUCGUAUCUUCA